CGGGGACUGGCGCAAUUGGCUAGCGCGCUAGCAUCGGGAGCUAGAGGUUCUCGGUUCAAAUCCGGGGUCCCCGACCA
rnacentral:tRNA from 1 species